UUGAAAAGCACUACAAAUGAACUCUGAAAAUGUUGAAAAUUGGCAUGGUAUCACCAUUUCACCCACAUAGCAUGUGCUAAAAAGUUGAUAGGGUUACGACAAAAACUGGAUGCACUUCGUGUACAAAACAGACAAUCUUUUUCGAAGUAUCACGAUUUCGAACACGAACUCAUGUGUUACAAAGGAAUUCCAUUUUUUGAACUUAUUUGAACUCC
rnacentral:lncRNA from 1 species